rnacentral:rRNA from 1 species
AAGCCGGGAACUUUAAGGAUACUGCCAGUGACAAACUGGAGGAAGGCGGGGACGACGUCAAGUCAUCAUGGCCCUUACGACCAGGGCUACACACGUGCUACAAUGGUCGGUACAAAGGGUUGCUACCUAGCGAUAGGAUGCUAAUCUCAAAAAGCCGAUCGUAGUCCGGAUUGGAGUCUGCAACUCGACUCCAUGAAGUCGGAAUCGCUAGUAAUCGCGGAUCAGAAUGCCCGCGGUCGAAUACGUUCCGGGCCUU